GAAAUGCGAUAAGUAAUGUGAAUUGCAGAAUUCAGUGAAUCAUCGAAUCUUUGAACGCACAUUGCGCCCGCCAGUAUUCUGGCGGGCAUGCCUGUCCGAGCGUCAUUUCAACCAUCAAGCCCCCGGGCUUGUGUUGGGGACCUGCGGCUGCCCGCAGGCCCUGAAAACCAGUUGCGGGCUCGCUGUCACACCGAGCGUAGUAGCAAUCACCUCGCUCAGGGCGUGCUGCGGGUUCCGGCCGUUAAACAGCCUUACAAAACCCAAGGUUGACCUCGGAUCAGGUAGGAAGACCCGCUGAACUUAAGC
rnacentral:misc_RNA from 1 species